UUGCAUCUUAAUCAAAAAUAUGACUUUUGAAUAUUACUCUGUCACUUCAAAUAGGUUUGUCAAUAUAUUUACACUUGUUAAAAUGUUAAAAGUCUAUAUACAAUAUAUUUGCAAUUUGCAUCAUUUGAAAAGUCUGUUGUCCGGGAGAUAUAAAAACAUAUCUUCCAAGCUUAACUACACAAAUUAUUUUUUAAAUCUGCAAGGGUGUCUCACAACAUCUCACAAACUUUGAUGAUUUCAAUAUAAUAAUGCUUGGCAAAAAACAAUCUUAAGGCAACAAUGUCUUGCCAAAACCCCACAUCAUCUGGUAAGAGUAAAAAUAGGAUUUUAAGAAAAUAACAUGUAGGUCAAAAGACAUCGUAAUGAUUAUAAAUCUGUGCUUCUGAUUGCUUGAGUUAAAAACAGUUGAUUUAAAUAAUGAGGAAGAGAUAGUGAUCAUAAGUUGUUUUGGCACAUAAAAAAAUAUUUAUCAAUCUUCUUAUAAGUUGGGGUCCAGGUUUACUACACAAAUGCAAACUCCAGCCAGUACCUCCUGUCCAGUUGUCAGUUCGACAGGAGGGCUUUAUGUUCCCCUGUAAGAUUUGUGAUGGCUGACAGGAGAUGCACAGCCUGUGUUAUCUCAGGUGGAUGCUGUUCUCUUCAAUCUGCGAGUCGACAUCUGUCACUGCUAGGUUCUUCAGAGAUGGCAAAUAAGGGACAGAAGAGUUUAUUUGCAGUAGUGACAUCAUUGGCAUCCCAUGAUGAAGCGGUUGCUGGGACCUCUACAGCGGGUCAGGCUCUUUCCCCGCCAUUGAAUGAAGCCACGGGCCGUCAAUGCUCAAGAAGGAGAAGUGCUGCGACCUGGACAGAAACUGAGACAGACCCGUCCAACCCCACCAGCACUGUUACCCCGCCUGUGAGGUCACCCAAAAAAAGAUGGCUGGAGAGACAGGCCAAAGAAUCCGAAACAUAGUUGAAUAAGUUUGCAAGUAAACAUUGUGACUAAGCAGUCUGUU